rnacentral:piRNA from 1 species
UGAGAGUCUGUUUGACACA